CCUACGGGUGGCUGCAGUGGGGAAUAUUGGACAAUGGGGGCAACCCUGAUCCAGCCAUGCCGCGUGUGUGAAGAAGGCCCUCGGGUUGUAAAGCACUUUCAGUGAGGAAGAACGCCUGGUGGUUAAUACCCAUCAGGAAAGACAUCACUCACAGAAGAAGCACCGUCUAACUCCGUGCCAGCAGCCGCGGUAAUACGGAGGGUGCGAGCGUUAAUCGGAAUUACUGGGCGUAAAGCGCGCGUAGGUGGCUUGAUAAGCCGGUUGUGAAAGCCCCGGGCUCAACCUGGGAACGGCAUCCGGAACUGUCAAGCUAGAGUGCAGGAGAGGAAGGUAGAAUUCCCGGUGUAGCGGUGAAAUGCGUAGAGAUCGGGAGGAAUACCAGUGGCGAAGGCGGCCUUCUGGACUGACACUGACACUGAGGUGCGAAAGCGUGGGUAGCAAACAGGAUUAGAUACCCCUGUAGUC
rnacentral:rRNA from 1 species